CCUGCGGCGGCGGCGGCGGCCAAGCGGCGUUCACCAGGGAGUCGUUUCGGCCCAAUUGACCAGUAUUCCUUACUGAUAAGAGACACUGACCAUGGAGUGGUUCUGGUGAGAUGACAUGACCCUCGUGAAGGGGCCUGAAGCUUCAUUGUGUUUGUGUAUGUUUCUCUCUUCAAAAAUAUUCAUGACUUCUCCUGUAGCUUGAUAAAUAUGUA
rnacentral:lncRNA from 1 species